AUAUGACCUACUCAAAUGUAAGUCUUCUCAUUACAAAUCCUGCUAUAGAUUUCUUAAAGGAAAAAGGAUGGAAAAGAAAAGAGACGUGGUUUCAGAGAGAAGAGGUACUCCCUUAUAGGGACUCGUAAAGACGUAGAGCAUCUGGAAAUUAACUGCCUCCAUUACACUGCUG
rnacentral:sRNA from 1 species